GACCGUGUAGCUCAGUUGGCAGAGCAUUGGGCUAGUAUUCCAAAGGUCGUAGGUUCGAUUCCCACCGUCGCCG
rnacentral:tRNA from 1 species